rnacentral:misc_RNA from 1 species
GAUGAAGAACGUAGCGAAAUGCGAUAAGUAAUGUGAAUUGCAGAAUUCAGUGAAUCAUCGAGUCUUUGAACGCACAUUGCGCCCCCUGGUAUUCCGGGGGGCAUGCCUGUCCGAGCGUCAUUGCUGCCCUCAAGCACGGCUUGUGUGUUGGGCCCCCGUCCCCGGUUUCCCCCGGGGACGGGCCCGAAAGGCAGCGGCGGCACCGCGUCCGGUCCUCGAGCGUAUGGGGCUUUGUCACCCGCUCUGUAGGCCCGGCCGGCGCCAGCCGAGACCCAACUUUAUUUCUAAGGUUGACCUCGGAUCAGGUAGGGAUACCCGCUGAACUUAAGCAUAUCAAUAAGCGGAGGA